rnacentral:rRNA from 1 species
UACGUAGGGGGCAAGCGUUGUCCGGAGUUAUUGGGCGUAAAGAGCGUGUAGGCGGCCCGGUAAGUCCGCUGUGAAAGUCGGGGGCUCAACCCUCGAAUGCCGGUGGAUACUGUCGGGCUAGAGUGCAGAAGAGGCGAGUGGAAUUCCUGGUGUAGCGGUGAAAUGCGCAGAUAUCAGGAGGAACACCAAUUGCGAAGGCAGCUCGCUGGGACGUAACUGACGCUGAGACGCGAAAGCGUGGGGAGCAAACAGG